GGUUCCGUAGUGUAGUGGUUUCACGCUCGCUUCACAUAUGAGAGGUCCAAGGUUCGAGCCCUAGUUGAAUCA
rnacentral:tRNA from 1 species